UACGUAGGGUGCGAGCGUUAAUCGGAAUUACUGGGCGUAAAGGGCGCGUAGGCGGCCACCGCAAGUCGAUUGUGAAAUCUCCGGGCUUAACCCGGAAAGGUCAACCGAUACUGCGGGGCUAGAGUGCAGAAGGGGCAACUGGAAUUCUCGGUGUAGCGGUGAAAUGCGUAGAUAUCGAGAGGAACACCUGCGGCGAAGGCGGGUUGCUGGGCUGACACUGACGCUGAUGCGCGAAAGCUAGGGGAGCGAACGGG
rnacentral:rRNA from 1 species